GUGUGUAACUGUGUGUAGACAUGUGGAGAACAACGUAGUAAGUAUGUGGAUCAAUGUCAUUGUGUGUUACUGUAUGUGGUGUUAUGUGUGUCUAGAUAAGAAACAUGGCCAGUGCAAGGCUUUAUCUAUUCUAUGCAAACAAUUGCUUUGCAAUCUCUUUGGAUUUGGGGUUGUUCUAUUGGUCUCAAAUAUUUGCAUUAUAUAAGUGCUGCC